CCCGGGGGGGUGCCUAUACAUGCAAGUCGAACGCGUUGGCCCAAUUGAUUGAUGGUGCUUGCACCUGAUUGAUUUUGGUCGCCAACGAGUGGCGGACGGGUGAGUAACACGUAGGUAACCUGCCCAGAAGCGGGGGACAACAUUUGGAAACAGAUGCUAAUACCGCAUAACAGCGUUGUUCGCAUGAACAACGCUUAAAAGAUGGCUUCUCGCUAUCACUUCUGGAUGGACCUGCGGUGCAUUAGCUUGUUGGUGGGGUAAUGGCCUACCAAGGCGAUGAUGCAUAGCCGAGUUGAGAGACUGAUCGGCCACAAUGGGACUGAGACACGGCCCAUACUCCUACGGGAGGCAGCAGUAGGGAAUCUUCCACAAUGGGCGCAAGCCUGAUGGAGCAACACCGCGUGAGUGAAGAAGGGUUUCGGCUCGUAAAGCUCUGUUGUUAAAGAAGAACACGUAUGAGAGUAACUGUUCAUACGUUGACGGUAUUUAACCAGAAAGUCACGGCUAACUACGUGCCAGCAGCCGCGGUAAUACGUAGGUGGCAAGCGUUAUCCGGAUUUAUUGGGCGUAAAGAGAGUGCAGGCGGUUUUCUAAGUCUGAUGUGAAAGCCUUCGGCUUAACCGGAGAAGUGCAUCGGAAACUGGAUAACUUGAGUGCAGAAGAGGGUAGUGGAACUCCAUGUGUAGCGGUGGAAUGCGUAGAUAUAUGGAAGAACACCAGUGGCGAAGGCGGCUACCUGGUCUGCAACUGACGCUGAGACUCGAAAGCAUGGGUAGCGAACAGGAUUAGAUACCCUGGUAGUCCAUGCCGUAAACGAUGAGUGCUAGGUGUUGGAGGGUUUCCGCCCUUCAGUGCCGGAGCUAACGCAUUAAGCACUCCGCCUGGGGAGUACGACCGCAAGGUUGAAACUCAAAGGAAUUGACGGGGGCCCGCACAAGCGGUGGAGCAUGUGGUUUAAUUCGAAGCUACGCGAAGAACCUUACCAGGUCUUGACAUCUUGCGCCAACCCUAGAGAUAGGGCGUUUCCUUCGGGAACGCAAUGACAGGUGGUGCAUGGUCGUCGUCAGCUCGUGUCGUGAGAUGUUGGGUUAAGUCCCGCAACGAGCGCAACCCUUGUUACUAGUUGCCAGCAUUAAGUUGGGCACUCUAGUGAGACUGCCGGUGACAAACCGGAGGAAGGUGGGGACGACGUCAGAUCAUCAUGCCCCUUAUGACCUGGGCUACACACGUGCUACAAUGGACGGUACAACGAGUCGCGAACUCGCGAGGGCAAGCAAAUCUCUUAAAACCGUUCUCAGUUCGGACUGCAGGCUGCAACUCGCCUGCACGAAGUCGGAAUCGCUAGUAAUCGCGGAUCAGCAUGCCGCGGUGAAUACGUUCCCGGGCCUUGUACACACCGCCCGUCACACCAUGAGAGUUUGUAACACCCAAAGUCGGUGGGGUAACCUUUUAGGAGCCAGCCGCCUAAGGUGGACAGAU
rnacentral:rRNA from 1 species